AAAUUACUAACACAACACAACACUUGAAGGUAAUGAAUAAUUAAUAAAAUAAUAAAUGAAGAAGCAACAGUUUGAAUUGAUUUGAUAAUCUAUGCUUACAGAUUGGACUGUGUUGAUGUAUGCUUUGGAAGCUCUCUCGGGUGACCAGGUUAGUUUCAUAUUGGCUUUGAUGUGUUGGUGAUGGUGUUGGUGUGAGUGUGAAUUUGGAAAAGGAGGAUUCAGGGGUGUGGGUUUAAUUUAUGUAGGACAGGUGCAGGAGAUAAGGGUUGGGUUUGGACAAAGACAGUUGACUUUUCAUGCAUUGCUGAUUCAACUAACGUAUGGGAUUACGAUGGUGGUGGGGUACCCAAGACCAAUACCCUUUUUCCACUCACAUAUUUUUCUCAAGUGUAUAUUAAUGUCACAAUUUCUG
rnacentral:lncRNA from 1 species